rnacentral:lncRNA from 1 species
UAGGCUUGAACUUGACGUCAUUGUGGUUAAGGUGGAGAGGAGCCCUUCAGUCCUGCUGUACCUCUGCAGAAAAGUGGGAGUGUGAAUGAGGACCAAGGGGAAAGGGCCAUUGAGAGCAGAGACCAGUGAGGAUGCAACAGGAAAAAGGACUUCCCAUGAUUUCCUCAGUGCCCUCAUGCUGCAGCUCUUCUCCAGGCUGGGAUGGUCGGGGUUUCCUCUGCAUCCAUCUGACGUAGUGGCAUCUCAAAGGCUGUGGGCAGGUGAGAUGGGUACUGGGAGCAUGGGGGGCAUAGGGGAAGCUGGGACACAAUUCACAAUCUGUACCUACAUGCUGAAUAUGUACACGUGCACUGUAAUGCUGUAGUGCAAGAGCUCUGCUCUGAGCAUGGAUUGGAGCCCAGCAGCUCGGGUUAUCCCAAGAAGGAUGGCAAGGACCAGCUUUAAGGCAGGGAAAAAGAUACAAAUGGGGAUGCUCAGCUUGCCAGCUGGUGGAUUGGAAGGGGGAAGCUGUGGUCCCUCAUGCUGUCACCUGGCAGAUUUUAGAUUGGAUAUUAG